rnacentral:lncRNA from 1 species
AUGCCUAUUGUUAAACCAGGAAAUUGUUCUGGAAGCUCUCUUCACUUUUUUUCCAACACAAGGCCAAAGUUGUGUGAUUACAAUGAGGCUGUUGUAUUGAACAUCCCACAUGGAUGCAGCAAAGAAGUCUCUGAGAACUGGCUUAUGUUGCAAGAAUGCAACCAUCUACUUUGUAAAAUGAGGGAAGUUGCACCUCAGAACAAGAUAAAGAUUUGAUAAUCUAAGCUCCACUGUGACACAUUAGGAGGAGAGGAAGGGGCUGUUUGUUAAACCAGCACUGUUGGAGAGCAAAGCUCUUGGAAGACAGUGAGGAGCGGCAACACAAGACUACAAAAACUUGGAGUUAGCAAUGCUGAAGUAUGUU